rnacentral:misc_RNA from 1 species
ACCAACAGCAGCAGCACAAGAACAAUUCCAGCAACUAGAAGAGAACCAUGCAGGAAAAACAAAAGCUGUAUAAGCAAAAACAGAGCCUUUUGCACCCAACGCACCUUCGCAAAAUUGUCAGGCAGACCUUGCUUCUUUAUUCUGAGGGUGCUGAUUUCCAAAGUAGCAUCAGACAAAAAGUGCCUGUAAUAAUCACCCCAGAAUGGACAAACACUUGUUUUAUUGAUAUAGUUCCUUCAUUGAUAUAAGAAAUCGAAGCUCCAAGCCCAUUGUGUGCUACUCCCAGAAGACCCAGAAUUUUGAUCAUACCAUACAUUUUCAUCAUCAUACUUGCAGGAACUUCUCUCUUCUCAUUGGGGUCUCUUUCCACGGUAGGCUUCUCUGUUUCUUUAUGCUUGAGAUGGGGUAUUUUGCUUGGACAUUCACUUUGGUUUUGGGAUUUCUCAGGAUCAGAAUGUGAAUGUGAUAUCAGAAUAGAAGACAUCUUGGGUUGCCACAGACACCUGAUUGCAG